UACGGAGGGUGCAAGCGUUAUCCGGAUUCACUGGGUUUAAAGGGUGCGUAGGCGGGUGUGUAAGUCCGUGGUGAAAUCUCCGAGCUUAACUCGGAAACUGCCAUGGGUACUGCAUGUCUUGAAUGUUGUGGAGGUGAGCGGAAUAUGUCAUGUAGCGGUGAAAUGCUUAGAUAUGACAUAGAACACCAAUUGCGAAGGCAGCUCACUACACAAAUAUUGACGCUGAGGCACGAAAGCGUGGGGAUCAAACAGGAUUAGAUACCCUGGUAGUCCACGCCCUAAACGAUGAUUACUCGACGUGCGCGAUACACAGUGCGCGUCUGAGCGAAAGCAUUAAGUAAUCCACCUGGGAAGUACGACCGCAAGGUUGAA
rnacentral:rRNA from 1 species